rnacentral:rRNA from 1 species
CCUACGGGAGGCUGCAGUGAGGAAUAUUGGUCAAUGGGCGCGAGCCUGAACCAGCCAAGUAGCGUGAAGGAUGACUGCCCUACGGGUUGUACACUUCUUUUAUAAAGGACUAAAGUGAGGCACGUGUGCCUUUUUGUAUUUACUUUAUGAAUAAGAAUCGGCUAACUCCGUGCCAGCAGCCGCGGUAAUACGGAGGAUCCGAGAGUUAUCCGGAUUUAUUGGGUUUAAAGUGAGAGUAGAUGGGUUGUUAAGUCAGUUGUGAAAGUUUGAGGAUCAACCGUAAAAUUGCAAUUGAUACUGGCAGUCUUGAGUACAGUUGAGGUAGGCGGAAUUCGUGGUGUAGCGGUGAAAUGCUUAGAUAUCACGAAGAACUCCGAUUGCGAAGGCAGCUUACUAAACUGCCACUGACAUUGAUGCUCGAAAGUGUGGGUAUCAAACAGGAUUAGAUACCCCUGUAGUC